GAUCAUGGCUCAGGAUGAACGCUGGCGGCGUGCUUAACACAUGCAAGUCGAGCGGUAGCACAGAGAGCUUGCUCUCGGGUGACGAGCGGCGGACGGGUGAGUAAUGUCUGGGAAACUGCCUGAUGGAGGGGGAUAACUACUGGAAACGGUAGCUAAUACCGCAUAAUGUCGCAAGACCAAAGUGGGGGACCUUCGGGCCUCAUGCCAUCAGAUGUGCCCAGAUGGG
rnacentral:rRNA from 1 species